rnacentral:rRNA from 1 species
AAUUGAAUGGCUGCAAUAUUUUAAUUGUACAAAGGUAGCAUAAUCAUUAGUUUUUUAAUUGAAAGCUUGUAUGAAGGGUUUAAUGAGAAAAUAACUGUCUUAAUUUAAAUAAAAAGAAUUUUAUUUUUAAGUUAAAAAGCUUAAAUUUUUUUAAAAGACGAGAAGACCCUAUAGAGUUUAAUUUUUAAAUUAAUAUUUUGUAAUAAGGUAUAAUUUUAUAAAUACUAAUUUAAAAAUUUUAUUGGGGUGAUAGAAAAAUUAAUUUAACUUUUUUUAUUUUAUAACAUAAAUGAAUGUAAAAAUGAUCCAUAUAUUAUGAUUAAAAGAUUUAAUUACCUUAGGGAUAACAGCGUAAUUUUUUUGGAGAGUUCUUAUCGAUAAAAAAGAUUGCGACCUCGAUGUUGGAUUAAAAUUAAAUAUUGGUGCAAAAAUUAAUAAUUUAGGUCUGUUCGACCUUUAAAAUUUUACAUGAUCUGAGUUUAAACCGGUGUAAGCCAGGUUGGUUUCUAUCUUUAAAUAAAAGUAGAUAUUCUAGUACGAAAGGAACAAAUAUUUUUAAAAAUUAAUUUAUUUGAAUAUUAAUGUUAUCUUGGCAGAUUAGUGUAUUAAAUUUAGAAUUUAAAUAAGUAAAAUAUUUACAGGUAAUACUUGAUUUUUAUAGAUUAUUUAUUGAUUUUAAUUAGAACUUUAAUUUUAGUAAUUUGUGUAUUAGUAGGAGUA